AUUGAACGCUGGCGGCAGGCCUAACACAUGCAAGUCGAGCGAGCGGCGGACGGGUGAGUAAUGUCUGGGAAACUGCCUGAUGGAGGGGGAUAACUACUGGAAACGGUAGCUAAUACCGCAUACCAUCAGACGUGCCCAGAUGGGCUUAGCGAGUAGGUGGGGUAACGGCUGACCUAGGCGACGAUCCCUAGCUGGUCUGAGAGGAUGACCAGCCACACUGGAACUGAGACACGGUCCAGACUCCUACGGGAGGCAGCAGUGGGGAAUAUUGCACAAUGGGCGCAAGGCGGAUGCAGCCAUGCCGCGUGUGUGAAGAAGGCCUUGGGGUUGUAAAGCACUUUCAGCGGGGAGGGGUGACAAGAAGAAGAAGCACCGGCUAACUCCGUGCCAGCAGCCGCGGUAAUUG
rnacentral:rRNA from 1 species